rnacentral:rRNA from 1 species
CAGCAGCCGCGGUAAUACGUGGGGUGCGAGCGUUAAUCGGAAUUACUGGGCGUAAAGCGUGCGCAGGCGGUUUUGUAAGACAGGCGUGAAAUCCCCGGGCUCAACCUGGGAAUGGCGCUUGUGACUGCAAAGCUAGAGUGCGGCAGAGGGGGAUGGAAUUCCGCGUGUAGCAGUGAAAUGCGUAGAUAUGCGGAGGAACACCGAUGGCGAAGGCAAUCCCCUGGGCCUGCACUGACGCUCAUGCACGAAAGCGUGGGGAGCAAACAGGAUUAGAUACCCCCGUAGUCCCUGUCUCUUAUAA